AUUCCAGCUCCAAUAGCGUAUAUUAAAGUUGUUGCGGUUAAAAAGCUCGUAGUUGGAUUUCUGCCGAGGACGCGUGGAAUGCCCUUUGGGUGAGCAUCUGGCUCGGCCUGGGCAUCCUCUUGGAGAACGUAGCUGCACCUGACUGUGUGGGGCUGUAUCCAGAACUUUUACCUUGAGGAAAUUAGAUUGUUUCAAGCAGGCAUAUGCCUUGAAUACAUUAGCAUGGAAUAGUGAGAUAGGACCUCGUUUUUUUUUUUGGUUUCUAGAGCUGAGGCAAUGAUUAAUAGGGAUAGUUGGGGGCAUUCGUGCUUAACUGUCAGAGGUGAAAUUCCUGGAUUUGUCAAAGACGAACCACUGCGAAAGCAUUUGCCAGGGAUGUUUUCAUUG
rnacentral:rRNA from 1 species